CGCUUAACACAUGCAAGUCGAGCGAUGAAGCACCUUCGGGUGUGAAUUAGCGGCGAACGGGUGAGGAACACGUGAAGAAUCUGCCUUCAACUCUGGGAUAACUCCGGGAAACCGGGGCUAAUACCGGAUAUGAGCCUUGAUCGCAUGAUCGGGGCUGGAAAGUUUUUCGGUUGAAGAUGACUUCGCGGCCUAUCAGCUUGUUGGUGAGGUAAUGGCUCACCAAGGCGACGACGGGUAGCCGGCCUGAGAGGGCGACCGGCCACACUGGGACUGAGACACGGCCCAGACUCCUACGGGAGGCAGCAGUGGGUAAUAUUGGGCAAUGGAGGAAACUCUGACCCAGCGACGCCGCGUGAGGGAGAAGGCCUUCGGGUUGUAAACCUCUUCAGUAGGGAAGAAGCGAAAGUGACGGUACCUACGAAGAAGCCCGGCUAACUAUGUGCCAGCACCGCGGUAAUACAUAGGGUGCAAGCGUUGUCCGGAAUUAUUGGGCGUAAAGAGCUC
rnacentral:rRNA from 1 species